CUUAUCCUGGGCCCCAACAAGUAGGCUUUUGUUGGCUUUCCCUUGGAACCUAAAUAAAAUUUUCAUGAAUUCCAGUCAGUAUUCGUUCGGGUCUCAAUCGGGCAAGUUGUCUAAUUUUCUAUUUAUUUUUAUUUAGAAAUUUUUGUAUAAAAAUGUAUUAAAAAUUAACCAAAAUAAAAAUUAUAAGGAAGUGUAUUAGGGCGGCCAACGGUGUUGUUGUUAGCCAGGAUCUGGAAGAAGAACAACAACACCAACGGCCGCCCGUCCGUCCUUGGAGGCAGGGAAGCGAUGCUGCAGGUGCAUCGCGGCAUCAAAAGGAUCGAGGACUGUGGCGCGUUGUGCCCGGGAGGACGACGACUGAGGGAGGGAGGGAAGUGCCCGCCUGGCACGCGCGCUGCAUCCUUGAGACUCGUAAAUAAACCAGCGGAGGGGCACGUGCCGACUGCACCUAAUUGAACAAAAAGCGUGCCCCUCCACCAGAUCCACCAGGAUCUGCCACAUCAAUACAAUAACACAGUCCUUUGUCCUUUGGUGAGGCAGCUGCCGAGAAAGGAUGGGACACAUGGUGGUGGGAGGGGCAUGGUGCUGACUGCACCUAUUUGGAAGAAAAGCAUGCCCCUCCAAGUGAAGGAUCAAGAAGCAGGACACCCACAACCCACAAAUCCAAUAGGAGGGGCACGCUCCGACUGCACCUACUUGAACGAAUAGCGUGCCCCUCCUCGGAUGGUAUUCCGAGGGAGGUAGCGACUGACUCCGCCUAUUUGAACGUAAUACGCCCCCUCCAGUCGGAGGAGCCAUCCCCACCAGGAACCAAAACCACACGAGCGAAGAACCCAUCGGAGGGGCACGUGCUGACUGCACCUAUGGAACUGAAAAGUGCCUCUCCGAUCGGAGGAUGCAGCAGGAUAAACUAUGGUCCUGGAUAUACAGGACACCCACAAAAGAAGAGACCUUCCAGGAUCCAGGAUCUUCCAGGAUAAACUAUUCAAGACUCUAUGAGGAGGAUACCCCAUAGGAGGGGCACGUGCUGACUGCACCUAUGGAACUGAAAAGUGCCCCUCCGAACGGAGGAUCUAUAAGGAUAAGCUAUAGUCCUGGAUAUACAAGGAUAUACUACUACAUACAAGACACCCACAAAAGGAAGACCAUCGGAGGGGCACAAAAUCCAAAUUUUGAACGUAUUUAAGAAGAAUCUAGUCUAGUGGACUAAAGUGCCCCUCCGAUGGGAGGAUCCAACUACACAGACAUCAAACACUACCUGAAGAAGCGACGUCAUUGUCCUCGGCCUGGGCCCAGACUCAGAGGCUGUUUCUUCAAAGAGAUCAUGGGCAGAACUACAAGGAUGAUGGGGACCAAGACCUGUUCUUUAAUACCGAAAAUGCAAGCUGCAUUUCUGCGGUUUGGUGGCUUGUGCCAACCAGGCAUACACUGAACAAAAGACAGAGGACUAUUUUAAAAAACAAUGCAGUGUAGUAAUGGGCCGUACAUCAAACACUUGACAGUAAGAAAAGUUGUAGAUUUUUGUAAAAAAAAUAAUAAAAAUGAAUAUAAUUCUAUA